UACGAAGGGUGCAAGCGUUAAUCGGAAUUACUGGGCGUAAAGCGUGCGCAGGCGGUUUGUUAAGUCUGUUGUGAAAUCCCCGGGCUUAACCUGGGAACUGCAUUUGUGACUGCAUCGCUGGAGUGCGGCAGAGGGGGAUGGAAUUCCGCGUGUAGCAGUGAAAUGCGUAGAUAUGCGGAGGAACACCGAUGGCGAAGGCAAUCCCCUGGGCCUGCACUGACGCUCAUGCACGAAAGCGUGGGGAGCAAACAGG
rnacentral:rRNA from 1 species